GUUGAAACACCGGUUCCCGUACGAUCACCGAAAUUAAGCAACGUCGAACCUGGUCAUUACCAUGAUGAGUGACCGCUUGGGAAUACCAGGUGCCGUAAG